UAAUCCAUGUCUAUCUAAUGACUGAAUUCCAAAAUUAUAAUUUUUUGCACUCUUGAUUUAACCAAAAACACUGCAUUAUUUGAAUGAUCACUUUUUUUUUUACACUCCUAGUAGUCCAGAGACACAAUAUUGCUCCAGACAGGCACACAACAGACCGCUGUAUAUUCACAGCAGGUGGUGCUGUGUAAUCAACUCACCAAAGCCUGCUGCUGCACCAACCUCUGCAGCUGUAACUGUUGGACGCCAGGUCACUCCGACUCAGUAGACACUUAUUAGUAUAUUAUCUCAUCUCCCAGAGCACAGAGGGGAGAGGAAUCGGGCUGCUGCCACCUCAGUGAUACCAUUUAAUUAGCUUGAGUAGAGUUUAGUUGAAGAGAUGCUGGGUAAUCCAUUCCUGCCAAAUGGAAUUUUUAAUUUUCUACUUUUACGAAGACUUGAGAGGAUAGUUUUCUCUCUGUAUUCUUUGAUGUGUGUAUAAUGAGGUUGUUCUCUGGUGUGUGCGUAUUACAAGAAGAGCUGUCAAAAUGUGUUGUAACUCAUUUUAAUCAGACCUCGGAAGGAUCCUUUACACACAAACAAUAAUCUGUGCUGCUUCCUCUGUUGCCCAUCACGAUCACAGUUUAGCAAACGGUUUAGACCUGCUGUCUCAUCUCCUCUGCUCUGCUUUUGCCUCAUGUUGUCAUAGUGAACUACCUACUGAACAUCAAAACAUCAUCAUCUGCAUGACAAUGCAAAGCCUUUAGUGAUUGUGUGUUUAAAUACCUUGUAACGUGUUUAGUGGUCCUGAAACGAGACCGUAACUCCAUCCGCAGGACCUUUUAUAAGUGUGUUAUUGUGUUUCAUAAACACGUCAGUGCUGGUUCUCUUGUGUUACAGUUAACCCCAGGCAGUGUCACUAUGGCAACCCAGGCCUCUUUCAGUGGGGGACUACAGGUUCCUGUAGAUCCGUUUCACAUAGCUCCACCAACAUACUGUAGGAUCUUAGAUAGAGAUC